rnacentral:rRNA from 1 species
CUGCAAGGUGCUGCAUGGUUGUCGUCAGCUCGUGCCGUGAGGUGUCAGGUUAAGUCCUAUAACGAGCGCAACCCCUACCGUUAGUUGCCAGCAUGUCAAGAUGGGGACUCUAACGGGACUGCCGGUGCAAACCGCGAGGAAGGUGGGGACGACGUCAAAUCAUCACGGCCCUUACGUCCUGGGCUACACACGUGCUACAAUGGCCGGUACAGAGGGAAGCCACCCCGCGAGGGGGCGCGGAUCUACAAAACCGGUCACAGUUCGGAUCGGGGUCUGCAACUCGACCCCGUGAAGCUGGAAUCGCUAGCAAUCGGAUAUCAGCCAUGAUCCGGUGAAUACGUUCCCGGGCCUUGUACACACCGCCCGUCAAGCCAUGGAAGCCGGGAGUGCCUGAAGUCCGUCACCGCAA